rnacentral:rRNA from 1 species
UGGGGAAUAUUGCACAAUGGGCGCAAGCCUGAUGCAGCCAUGCCGCGUGUAUGAAGAAGGCCUUCGGGUUGUAAAGUACUUUCAGCGAGGAGGAAGGUGUUGUGGUUAAUAACCGCAGCAAUUGACGUUACUCGCAGAAGAAGCACCGGCUAACUCCGUGCCAGCAGCCGCGGUAAUACGGAGGGGGCAAGCGUUAAUCGGAAUUACUGGGCGUAAAGCGCACGCAGGCGGUCUGUCAAGUCGGAUGUGAAAUCCCCGGGCUCAACCUGGGAACUGCAUCCGAAACUGGCAGGCUAGAGUCUUGUAGAGGGGGGUAGAAUUCCAGGUGUAGCGGUGAAAUGCGUAGAGAUCUGGAGGAAUACCGGUGGCGAAGGCGGCCCCCUGGACAAAGACUGACGCUCAGGUGCGAAAGCGUGGGGAGCAAACA